rnacentral:rRNA from 1 species
GAUAAGGAGCUUGCUCCUUUGACGUUAGCGGCGGACGGGUGAGUAACACGUGGGUAACCUACCUAUAAGACUGGAAUAACUCCGGGAAACCGGGGCUAAUGCCGGAUAAUAUUUAGAACCGCAUGGUUCUAAAGUGAAAGAUGGUUUUGCUAUCACUUAUAGAUGGACCCGCGCCGUAUUAGCUAGUUGGUGGGGUAAUGGCUUACCAAGGCAACGAUACGUAGCCGACCUGAGAGGGUGAUCGGCCACACUGGAACUGAGACACGGUCCAGACUCCUACGGGAGGCAGCAGUAGGGAAUCUUCCGCAAUGGGCGAAAGCCUGACGGAGCAACGCCGCGUGAGUGAUGAAGGUCUUCGGAUCGUAAAACUCUGUUAUUAGGGAAGAACAAAUGUGUAAGUAACUGUGCACGUCUUGACGGUACCUAAUCAGAAAGCCACGGCUAACUACGUGCCAGCAG